rnacentral:rRNA from 1 species
UACGUAGGGAGCAAGCGUUGUCCGGAAUCAUUGGGCGUAAAGCGCGCGUAGGCGGCCUCGUAAGUCCGUUGUGAAAGUCAAAAGGCUCAACCUUUGAAAGCCGAUGGAUACUGUGAGGCUAGAGUCCGGAAGAGGCGAGUGGAAUUCCUGGUGUAGCGGUGGAAUGCGCAGAUAUCAGGAGGAACACCAAUAGCGAAGGCAGCUCGCUGGGACGGUACUGACGCUAAGGCGCGAAAGCGUGGGGAGCGAACAGG